rnacentral:rRNA from 1 species
AUGUCUUGGUUGUUGCCUACAGGUCAGAAGCUCUUAAUACUUGUCGUCGCCACCCUAACCCUACAACAUAGUACUACUGUUGCUUAUGGGUCUGGGACCUCUGGGAGCAUCAGCAUGGCACUGCCUGGCUGCCCAGGCAAUUGUGGCAAUGUGAGCAUUCCGUACCCAUUCGGCACUAAAAAAGGCUGCUUCCGAGAAUCCUUUAAUGUCACAUGCAAUGAGACUGGAGCAUAUCUGGGCUCAAACGGACUUAGAGUACUGGACAUCACUCUUAACUUGGGUGAGGUUCGUGUUCAGAACCCACAAAUAUCAUCACAAUGUAACUACAGCAAUGGCAGUAAUAGCACCAGUGAUUUGGACGUCUUAUAUCUUGAUCCUUUUCAUACGGUUUCCAACACCAAGAACAAGUUGGCAUCAAUCGGCUGUGGUGUACUUGCAGUGCUUGUGGGACAAGCCGAGGGCAAGAACCAGCUUGAGUACUAUACCGCUGACUCAUGCAUUUCAUCUUGCUUUGACACAAGCAGCAUCUAUAAUGGAACAGAGUGCUCUGGCAUGGGUUGUUGCCAGGCCCCUGUUUCAGGAAACAUCAGCGCGUUCCUCGCUGGAUCCCAGCCACUACCACCUAUAUACAACUCUACCAUCCAGUCUUUCAGUCCUUGCAGCUACUCAUUCGUUGCUGUGAAGGACUGGUUCAAGUUUGAUCAUUCCUAUGUUAACUCUACAAAUUUCGCAAGUAAGCAUACAGAUGGGGUUCCUUUGGUACUCGAUUGGGUUGUUGGUAAUGAAAGUUGUUUGGAAGCCACAAAGAUGGGAUCACAGUCUGCCUGCCAAGCCAUGAACAGCGAAUGUGUUGAUGUGCCCAAUGGCUCCGGUUACCGCUGCAGCUGUUCUCAAGGUUAUGAAGGCAAUCCAUACCUACAAGGAGGGUGCCAAGACAUUAAUGAGUGCAACCAAUCCUUGAAUCCCUGCAAAGGUAAAUGCAGAAACACUGUGGGAAGCUACACCUGUUUUUGCUCAUCAGGAUUCAGGAGUGACGAUCCAAAGAGCAUACCCUGCGUUCGAUCUGACCCAAAGAGAGCGCUGAAAAUUGUGUUAGGCAUAUCCAUCAGUGUCGUCUUCCUCAUGGUUUGCAUCUUGGCUCUACGGGCCGAGUAUCAGAAAAGGAGGAUGAAGAAAGAGAAGGAAAGAUUCUUUGAUCAGAAUGGUGGUCAGAUAUUAUAUCACCAAAUUAUGUCAAAACAAGUUGAUACAUUGAGAAUAUUCACGCAAGAAGAUCUGAAGAAGGCUACAAAUGAUUUUGACAAGAGCAGAGAACUGGGCAGGGGUGGUCAUGGCACUGUCUACAAGGGCAUUCUCAAGGACAGCAGGGUAGUGGCUGUGAAGCGCUCGAAGAUCAUGAACGUGGCCGAAACUGACGAAUUCGUACAGGAGAUUAUUAUACUUUCACAGACCAACCACCGGAAUGUGGUCAGGCUUCUAGGGUGCUGUCUAGAGGUGGAAGUUCCAAUGCUGGUCUACGAGUUCAUCCCUAAUGGCACUCUCUUUGCGUUCAUCCAUCGUAACUACACAAGUCCACCUCCCUCUCUGGACACCCGUCUCAGGGUCGCUCAAGAAUCAGCAGAAGCACUGGCGUAUCUGCAUCUGUCCAUGAACCGGCCUAUAGUACAUGGGGAUGUUAAGUCUAUGAACAUUCUCUUGGACGAGAACUACAUGGCGAAAGUGACCGACUUUGGGGCGUCAAGGAUGCUCCCCAAGGAUGAGGUUCAGUUUAUGACAUUGGUGCAGGGCACCAUGGGUUACCUCGACCCUGAGUACCUGCAGGAGCGGCAGCUAACAGAGAAGAGCGACGUUUACAGCUUUGGUGUUGUGUUGCUGGAGCUGAUCACGGGCAAGACGGCCAUCUACCACGAUGGACCCAAGGAAGGCAAGAGCCUUGCAUCGUCCUUCCUGCUCGCGAUGAAGGAUGGUAGCCUUGAUGGCAUACUGGACACAAGCAUAGUGGGUGACAGCAUGGAGAUGCUUCUGGGAGAAGUUGCUGAGCUGGCAAGGAUGUGCUUGAGCGCCAGGGGGGAAGAGAGACCUUCCAUGACCGAGGUGGCUGACAAGCUGAAGGCUAUGCGAAGCACCUGGAGGGAGAAACUGGUGCUCGAGCAUGGCAAAACAGAAUGUCUGGUUGUGUGCUCCUCACCUGCAGCUUCGGCUCUUCGCGAUCCUCCAUCAUCGAGCACGUUUUCAACUGGGCCCCACAUGUCUGGAAUAGGUAUAGAGACACCCAGGUGA